AAAUGGGCGCCGCCGGCGGCCUCCGCAGCCGAAGCCGCUCCGGGGGGCGGCCGACGGGCGGCCGACAGGGUAACCGAGGAGGGUGAGGGCACGGUGCAUUCUUGCAGCCCAGCCGGCGGAGGAGACCUCGGCAGCAGGCGACGGCGGGCACGGAGCUGUGUGAUCGGUGGGGCUCCCCGUCCCGCGGGAGGAGAUGGGGAUUCAUCCUGCUCGUCGGCGCAGGAGGGAGGUGAGGGAUCCACAGGUGUGCAUGUGUACAUGUUGAAUGUGACCGGGCAAAUUCAGGAGAUUAGUGACAUGAUGAUCAGGCUGACUUGUCAUUGCGCUGUAAACCACUGCUUGUUGUCCCGUGAGAUGCAAACUCUUGACUUGUUUGGACUUCUGAACCAGAGCUCGUGAAUUCUGUGGAUAGUUCUAUCUCUUGUUGACAGAGCAACAUCACCAGGGCUAUUAAAAGGGCAGAAGUUGAAGCAAUUCCUGUGACUACAAAGAGUCCUGAAAAGCUUUUGAAGUUUAGGCUACUUGAGCUGGCGAUGGUACCAUCAUUUUCACAGGCAUG